rnacentral:rRNA from 1 species
CCUACGGGUGGCAGCAGUGGGGGAUAUUGCACAAUGGGGGGAACCCUGAUGCAGCGACGCCGCGUGGGUGAAGGAGCGUUUCGGCGCGUAAAGCUCUAUCUGCAGGGAAGAAGAUUACGUUACCUGAGCAAGUAGCCCCGGCUAACUACGUUCAGGCGGCCGAGGCAACACGCAGGCGGCAAGCGUUAUCCGGAUGUACGGGGUGUAAUGCGGGUGCAGACGGGAGUGCAAGCCAGGGGGGAAAGCCCGGGGCCCAACCCCAGGACUGCACUUGCAACUGGAUGUCUGGAGUGCAGGUGGGGCAGGCGGAAUUCCGGGGGUAGCGGUGAAAUGCGUAGAGAUUAGGAAGAACACCGAUGGCGAAGGCAGCCUGCUGAACUGUCACUGACGUUGAUGCCCGAAGGCGUGGGGAGCAAACAGGAUUAGAUACCCCAGUAGUC